CAGGGAGACAACAAAAUGUUUAAUAUUAUUAUUUUGUCACCUUAGGUCGAUCGGUAUCUCACAUUUUUAAUUUAUUAAAAAUUUCAUUUCCUAAGUUUUUUCUAGGUCACACCCAUUAUUUUUCCUGGGCCAUUAGCUCAGGUGGUUAGAGCGCACCCCUGAUAAAGGGUGAGGUCCCUGGUUCAAGUCCAGGAAUGGCCCAUAUCUCUAUGUUGGGGGUAUAGCUCAGUUGGUAGAGCGCCUGCUUUGCAAGCAGGAUGUCAGCGGUUCGAGUCCGCUUACCUCCACUGAUUACCACCUCUUCCAUAACUAAAGGAAAUUUUAUAAGUUGUGACCUAAUUCUGAAAGAAUCUAGCUUCCUAAUUAAAUCUUUAAGAUAAAUCAUUAAGAUGCUGGACUCAUUGAAUUAAAUUCAUUGUUUUCAGAGAACCUUGACAACUGCAUAGAUUAUUUUUAAAGACAAUAAGCAUCUUUUAAUGAUGCAGAUUUAUUAUUUGUGCGAAUGCAUUAAUAACAAUUCUAUUAAGCUGAUGCUUCAA
rnacentral:tRNA from 1 species